ensembl:rRNA 5S_rRNA 5S ribosomal RNA
GCUUACGACCACACCCCUGCCUGUACGCCUGAUCUCGUCUGAUCUCGGAAGCUAAGCAGGGUCGGGCCUGGUUAGUACUUGGAUGGGAGACCGCCUGGGAAUACCAGGUGCUGUAAGCU